UGGGGAAUAUUGCGCAAUGGGCGAAAGCCUGACGCAGCAACGCCGCGUGCGGGAUGAAGGCCUUCGGGUUGUAAACCGCUUUCAGCAGGGACGAAACUGACGGUACCUGCAGAAGAAGCCCCGGCUAACUACGUGCCAGCAGCCGCGGUAAUACGUAGGGGGCUAGCGUUAUCCGGAUUCAUUGGGCGUAAAGCGCGCGUAGGCGGGCUGUUAAGUCAGGUGUGAAAACCGGGGGCUCAACCCGCGGCCUGCACCUGAAACUGGCAGCCUCGAGUCUGGUAGAGGAAAGUGGAAUUCCCAGUGUAGCGGUGAAAUGCGCAGAUAUUGGGAGGAACACCAGUGGCGAAGGCGGCUUUCUGGGCCACGACUGACGCUGAGGCGCGAAAGCUAGGGGAGCAAACAGG
rnacentral:rRNA from 1 species